GGGUGACUAGUGACAGAGUGAGGGAAUGGGUGACUAGUGGCAGAGUGAGGGAGGGAAGAGAUGACUAGUGGCAAAGUGAGGGAGGGAAGGGGUGACUAGUGACAGAGUGAGGGGGGUGACUGUCACUAGUCACCCCAUCCCUCUCUCUGUCACUAGUCACUCCCUCCCUAACUCUGUCACUGUGUCACCCGCUCCCUCACUCUGUCACUGUGUCACCCGCUCCCUCUCUCUGUCACUAGUCACCCCAUCCCUCUCUCUGUCACUAGUCACCCC